CCCUCAGCACAUGCCGGGCUCUUGACUGUUUAACUUUCUUCGUUUUGCUUGUUACUUUAAAAACGCACAUCUUCCUCAAACAGAUACGGGUUUAGAAUGUCCAGUAUGUAAAGAAGAUUACACAGUUGAGGAGAAAGUCCGGCAGUUACCCUGCAACCACUUCUUUCACAGCAGCUGCAUCGUGCCCUGGUUAGAACUGCAUGACACAUGUCCAGUAUGUAGGAAGAGCUUAAAUGGUGAGGACUCGACUCGGCAAACCCAGAGCUCCGAGGCCUCUGCAAGCAACAGGUUUAGCAAUGACAGCCAGCUACACGACCGAUGGACUUUCUGAAACUAAAGACCACACCCGAACCAGGGCUGCCUGUGUUAGUCCUGUUGUCAUAGCUGUAAAUUGUAUCAAAACUAAACAAACAAAAUAGUAGAUGGAUUUAGGAAUCAUGUAAGAGACUCAAACCCAUAAUAUUAAUGCAAUGAGUGUAUUUCUUCUCUAAAUUUAAAGUUAGGGCUUACAGAUGGAAUCGUAUUGACAACCAAAUGCCUCUUGUUCCUGAAUUGAGUGAUAGUUUUCUAAGUGUGAAACUUAAUUAUGUCAGUUUGCUCCUGCCUGAGUAGAAUCAAUUCCGUAAAGUCUAGGUAGGUUCUGCUGUCAUGUUGUCUAGUAAUGGAUGGCUCUACCUCCUCCUCCUGUCUCUGUCCUACCAUUAGUGGAUUUCACAGCAA
rnacentral:lncRNA from 1 species